AACGAACGCUGGCGGCAUGCCUAACACAUGCAAGUCGAACGAGAUCUUCGGGUCUAGUGGCGCACGGGUGCGUAACGCGUGGGAAUCUGCUCUUUGGUUCGGAAUAACAGUUGGAAACGACUGCUAAUACCGGAUGAUGACGAAAGUCCAAAGAUUUAUCGCCAGAGGAUGAGCCCGCGUAGGAUUAGCUAGUUGGUGUGGUAAAGGCGCACCAAGGCGACGAUCCUUAGCUGGUCUGAGAGGAUGAUCAGCCACACUGGGACUGAGACACGGCCCAGACUCCUACGGGAGGCAGCAGUGGGGAAUAUUGGACAAUGGGCGAAAGCCUGAUCCAGCAAUGCCGCGUGAGUGAUGAAGGCCUUAGGGUUGUAAAGCUCUUUUACCCGGGAUGAUAAUGACAGUACCGGGAGAAUAAGCUCCGGCUAACUCCCUGCCAGCAGCCGCAGUAA
rnacentral:rRNA from 1 species